UUGUUUCUCAUAACAUUCGCAGUUGCCGCCUAAGAGCUUUCGCCCUGCCAGGCUUGAGAGCUAAUGCUGUUAAUUCCUUCCUUGGAUGUCUGA
rnacentral:snoRNA from 1 species